rnacentral:misc_RNA from 1 species
UAAUAAUAAUAAUCAUCAUCAUCAAUAGAGUAAUAGAGCAAUGCCCAAUUUCUCUCCCAAACACUGGUUAGAUGCUUGAGUUAAUUAGAUCAGAUCAGAUCCAAAGACAUAGGAAAUUGCCCUUUCUACAUGUUAAAAAGUCAAUUUCUCAGCUACUUUAUUUUAGAUCAAUGUGCUUUAGAGACGUAACAGUGAUUGGUGUCUGUUAUGAUUAGAGAAUUUUAUAGUGAUAUCUUUUGCUUUCAAUAUUUUGCAAAGGUUUGAUUGGUCAAAAUACUGUAAGGUACUCAUCUAUCCUUAAACAAGAUACGUGACGGAGUUACACACUAUAGUUGAUGCACUCGGAUAUGAGCACAGCUAAUUUAAUGCUUCCUCCUACACCACUAGUGUAUCCUCCAUUUACGCUUGCAUUUGGAACAGGGGACUAACUGGUGAGCGUACAG